UAUUAUAACAUUCCACCUAUGUCAUCAAAUUAGACUUACACCCUUUAUCAUCAAUCAUAAUUAAGUAAAAAUAUUAAAAUGAUCGUUACACCCUAUUCAUUACAACUCAUUCUCCUUCAUUCCUACCGCUGAAAAACCGUUAAAAUCAAGAUUAGAAAAUCGGGUCGUAGAUGACCCUCCGAGUCAGAUGACGAUGGGAUUCGACUACUCGGCCUCAUCGGUUUGGUUUUCUGGACUCCUGGAGUCUUGACAAAGAGGAAGCUUACGUUGAAAUUUGGUUUCAAUUUCAAAUUAUUUAUCAAAGGAGUCAGAGAUGACAAUGCGACGUUCGGGUCUCGAAAUGGUAGAGAAGGAUGCGAUUUAAGAUAUGGAAGGAAGGAGGGAAGUGGAUGAAGAAAUCAGUAAGAGGAUGACCUGAAACUCAUGAAUUCCGACCAAUCUGGCCAUGGAGCAUGCCCUAUAGCCAUCUCAAUUACGGUACAUCCAAGGGCCCAAAUGUCGGUAGGUAAACUUUGUUCUUCCCCUCAAGCCAUUUCAGGUGCCAUGAAAACAGGGGCUCCGACAAUCGGAAUCGCCAGAGACUCCUCAUCCUCCUCAUCGAUCCAUCUCGUGCAACCCAAGUCGGCAAUCUUGGCACCAUCUGCUCCAAUCAAAACAUUCCGACCUUUAAUGUCACAAUUUCGACUGUGAUCUCGAAUAGAGUCAGUGAGGGUACUAUUGGAGAUAUACUCCAUGAAGAGAUUGUAGUACAUCAAUCGACCACUCUCAUGUGUUACGCUCCACAUAUUUCACGGCAAAAACCUCACCGGACCGGUGAGUUUUAGGAGAGAGACGGUGGCGGAAGAGCCAUGACCGAUGGUGCGGCCUCUGGUCCAUUCCACAUUCCAUGAUGGAUUGAAGGAAGCUUGGAAUUGGAAUUGGAAUUGGGAGGUACGGAGAAAGGAAGAAACAUGUGGGUUUGGGUAUUUUGGGUAUUUCAUAUCUAAUAAGGACAUUUUGAUAUUUAAAAUAAAAUAUAGUAAUUAACGUCACCAUAUAAAAUAUAUUCUUUAAUUGUGACUUGUGAAUGACGGUAGGAGAUCUAAAUCUAAUUUAGAUAAGAUAUUGUUAUAAUAAUGACAUUCUCCAAGGAGUGGUGCUGUAAAUUAUUCUUUAUAUUUUUUUGGUAAAAUAAGUUCUUACAGUUUAUUUGUA